GAGGAGAGGAAGCACGUGUGAGGAACUGGGAGUAACAGGCACAAGGAGCUGAGAGGACCUGGCUCAUGCAGAAGGUGAGCAGCUGCGUUGUACCCCGUGCUUCAUCGUCAGCUUCCGAUACAGUGAAUGACAGUGAUCUAGCCUGCAGGUGACAGAUGUAUGGAUCGCUAUGGCCAGGUCCUCACCCAAGAACAAGGGAUGAAGUUUCCUAGUGAUCAGCAGCUUCUCCAGUGUCAAACAGAAACUUGAGGUUUUGCUCCACUUAUGUGAAUGGGGAAGGUGAUAGGGUGUACAAACCCCACCCUGGCGAAGAAAGGGUUACUGAGAGUCUGUGGGCUCCAUCAGCCCUGCCCUGCUCCACCUGCAGUAGGAGUUAGGCCUCCCCUCUGGGACUGUGCCAGUGCAACCCUCUUACUCAUAAGUGUACAUGGGGCCUCUUCAGCCUGUUCUGAACCAGCAUAUGCAGUGCCUCUCAGGUGAUACUUCCCCAGAGUUGUUUGUCUCUCCAGGGAUUUUAGUUGCUGCAGGAAGCUCAGUCACCCUCCCUUCUGAG